GCGGCUCAGAGCGCGGCUGUGUGGGGCUGCGGGGCUCCCGCCAUGCCCGCUGUGGUAGGUCCCUGCAGACCCCGGCCACUGGAGCCACUCAUCAUUUCCGACGGAUGGGCCGGAGGGGCCGCCGGCCGCCCCAGCCAGGGUCUCGGUACCCUGCAAGGAGAGAAAGGUGGGAGCAGCCCGCGCGGGGCCCUGCGUCUUGCAUAGGCGCUUCUGGCCGCAGAAUUGGAAGCAGUCGUCACCCGGAGGCCUGGUUGUGCAAGCACCGAAGCUCUGGCUGGCCCUUAGCCUCCCCACCCCACCCGCUCUUUUCGCUUGAACGCGUGUACUUUGGGCAGUUGCUGACGUGGAGACAGGACGUAUGUCUUCAUAUUUUAGUAAAACCCAGUGCUCUCUGCCUCUC
rnacentral:antisense_RNA from 1 species